rnacentral:rRNA from 1 species
GAUGAACGCUGGCGGCGUGCCUAAUACAUGCAAGUCGAGCGAACGGACGAGAAGCUUGCUUCUCUGAUGUUAGCGGCGGACGGGUGAGUAACACGUGGAUAACCUACCUAUAAGACUGGGAUAACUUCGGGAAACCGGAGCUAAUACCGGAUGAUAUUUUGAACCGUAUGGUUCAAAAGUGAAAGACGGUCUUGCUGUCACUUAUAGAUGGAUCCGCGCUGCAUUAGCUAGUUGGUAAGGUAACGGCUUACCAAGGCAACGAUGCAUAGCCGACCGGAGAGAGGGAUCGGCCACACUGGAGCUAGGAAGCGAUGCAGGGUCCUGCGAGAGGCAGCAGGAGGGGAGCUUGCGCGAUGAGCAGAAGCCUGAUAGAGCAACGCCACGUGAGUGAGGAAGGGCUACGAAUCGUGAAACUCUCUUAUUAAGGAAGAACGUGUGUGUAAGUAACUGUGCACAUCAUGACGGUACCGAAUCAGAAGACCACGGCUAACGACAGG